UACGUAGGGGGCAAGCGUUGUCCGGAAUCAUUGGGCGUAAAGAGCGUGUAGGCGGCUUGGCAAGUCUGACGUGAAAGCCCGCGGCUCAACCGCGGAUUGUCGUUGGAAACUGCCUCGCUAGAGUCCGGAAGAGGAGAGCGGAAUUCCGUGGUGUAGCGGUGGAAUGCGCAGAUAUCAGGAAGAACACCCGUGGCGAAGGCGGCUCUCUGGGACGGUACUGACGCUGAGACGCGAAAGCGUGGGGAGCGAACAGG
rnacentral:rRNA from 1 species